UACAGAGGGGGCAAGCGUUAUUCGGAAUUAUUGGGCGUAAAGGGCGCGUAGGCGGCGAUUCAAGUGACGGGUGAAAUCCCUCGGCUUAACCGAGGAACUGCCUGUCAGACUGGAUUGCUUGAGGCCGGGAGAGGCGAGUGGAAUUCCCAGUGUAGCGGUGAAAUGCGUAGAUAUUGGGAGGAACACCAGUGGCGAAGGCGGCUCGCUGGACCGGUUCUGACGCUGAGGCGCGAAAGCGUGGGGAGCGAACAGG
rnacentral:rRNA from 1 species